rnacentral:lncRNA from 1 species
GCAACAACAAGGUAGUUAACUCAUUCUGUCAGUGUCAACACCAUAAAUUCUUCAAGUAAAGUAGCUCAGCCUCAAAGUCACAUCAAUUAAUAUCUGAUAUUAACAUAAAUCAGUCUGUGGAUGGUUGGUUCUAUUGUCUCAUAGCAUCUACUCGGCAAGGUACUUCAUUAUUUAAGUGUAACUACAUAGUCUCUUAGUAACACCUACUAGCCUAUGGUCGAUCGUGGCCU